GGAAAAGAAGGAAAGGGGGAGAGGCAGAUAAUCUGGAUGAGUUCCUCAAAGAGUUCGAGAACCCAGAGGUCCCCCGAGAGGAGCAGCAGCCGCAGCCACAGCAGCAGCAGGCGCAGCGUGACGUCAUUGAUGAGCCCAUUAUAGAAGAGCCAAGCCGCCUUCAGGACUCAGUGAUGGAGGCCAGCAGAACAAACAUAGAAGAGUCGGCCAUGCCUCCACCACCCCCUCAGGGAGUUAAGCGAAAAGCCGGGCAAGUAGACCCGGAGCCUGCGAUUCCUGUAAGUAUAAAGAAAAACACAGGUAGGAGAGAUGGCCAUGCAGUUAGUUGCAAGAGGCAUUUAAGGAGUCUGACUUAGGAGUCUCUUGGUUUAGGCAGAGGAUA
rnacentral:lncRNA from 1 species